rnacentral:lncRNA from 1 species
CUUUGGGGAAGUCCACAAAAAAGAAAUGGAAAACUUUGGAAGAACAGCACCUUUGAUAAAACACAUAGAGAGAAAAAGGAGCCAGGAGUAUACAGAAGAAACAUCAAGGGUAUCUUCUGAGGACGAAUCCCUUGCCUGGCACUCCCCAUGGAGAUCAUCAUCCUCCUCACCCGCCACAAGCACUGCCAACAUUGCUUUUCCAGUGGCUGCCACCACCGCUGCCACCACCGCUGCUUCACUACAAGAAUAUGCUGCAACUACUGAUUCACCAAAGGGUGCUGGGGCCGCAGCCGCCGCAGCCGCCGCAGCCGCCGACGCUGCCGCCACCGCUGCGUCAACUGCUGCUGCCGCUGUGUCAGACAUGGCCACUGCCGCCACCAAAGCUGUGGCAGCAGUCGCCGCCGCUGCUACAACCGCUGUCUCGGCAGCCGCCACCGCCGCUGCCUCAGCUGCCUCGGCAGCCGCCACCGCCGCUGCCUCGGCUCCCUCGGCUGCCUCGGCUGCUGCCGCCACCGCUGCUUCCUGUACCCGCCACAGUGGUCCAUCACGGAUGACUGUAUGGAGAAGAAGAAGGCAAAACAGGAGGAUGCAGAAGCCUUAAAAAAGGAGGAAGGGCGCCAACAACAGCGCCAAGAGGAGCCCCAAGAAGAGCUCCAAGAGGAGCCCCAAGAGGAGCCCCAAGAAGAGCUCCAAGACGAGCCCCAAGAGGAGCCCCAAGAGGAGCCCCAAGAAGAGCGCCAAAACCAAUGCCGACAUUGUGGACUUCCCAGGACCCUGUUGAAGGGGCAUGCCUUUUACAAAGGGCAUUUCUACUGCACACACACUGCAGGACCUGGGGCAAAGUCUGCCAAUGAGUGGCUGAAGGAGCAGGAAGAAAAGGAAGCACCAAAAAUUCCCAGGACAACUGCCUUCACCAUGAGGAAAAAGUGGGAGAAUGAGCACAGUUUCAAAUCUCCAAAAAACAGAAGGAAGCCGAAUAAACUUAGAAUCUGCCAGCUGUGUGGCCUGCCA